AUGGACGGCAGACACCGCCCCCUCGGUGGGCCCCCCCGAUCCAGGACCGGCAGGCCCCGCCCCCUCCCGCGGACCACGCCCACCAGGACGGCAGGCCCCGCCCCCCGCGCGGGCCACGCCCACAUGGACGGCAGGCCCCGCCCCCUCGGUGGGCCCCCCCGAUCCAGGACCGGCAGGCCCCCGCCCCCUCCCGCGGACCACGCCCACAUGGACGGCAGACCCCCGCCCCCUCGGUGGGCCCCCCCACCCCGGGCCACGCCGAUCCAGGACCGGCAGGACCCGUCCCCUCCCGCGGGCCACGCCCAUUCAGGCCGACAGACCCCGCCCCUGGGUGGACCCCCCCGGGCCCCGCCUAUCCAGGACCCGCAGGACCCGCUCCCUCCCGCGGGCCACGCCCAUUCAGGACGCAGGCCCGCUCCCAGGGAGGGGAGACCCCAACCCCUCCCGCGGGCCCCGCCCCCGGUGGACCCCGCCCCAUCGCGCGGCGCCCCCCAGACGGCGAAGGAGCCGGGGGUUCACUCGGAGGAUCCCAAGCACCAGCGGAUAGGCAGACAGAGGACCUGCAGCCUCCAGACGUUUGGGGGCGAGGGGAUGGGAGCCCGACUGCGCCCCUCGCGCGAGCAGCUCAGGGCUCCUGCUCCCGGAGGGCCGGCGCCGCGGCGCGUCAGCACGCUCGGGGCUUGGCGCCAGGAGCCGGGUAUCCGGGACGGCCGGCGGCCGCACACCCCGCCGCGUCUAGGACCCAGCGGCGGCCGCGCGGCCCCGCCCCCUCGGACAGCAGCGCCCGCGGAUUGGCUGCGGCCAGCGCGGUCCCGCCCCCGCCAUGGCCGCCGCCCGCCGCCCGGGCUCCUGAGCGGCUGCGGGGUGCUGGUCGCCGCCGCCGCCGCCGCCGCCGCCGCCGCCGCCGCCCGGUCCGCGGGCCCCGGGGCGCAUGGGUCGGCGAGGCGGGCCCUCCUGCGCGCGGGCCAUGGCGCGCCUGGCCGCCGUGCGCUCCCACUCCUGCGCGCUGCUGCUGGCCGCGGCGCUGGCCGUCUGCGCCUUCUACUACCUGGGCUCCGGCAGGAGCUUCUCCGCGCCCCAAGAGGU
rnacentral:lncRNA from 12 species